rnacentral:rRNA from 1 species
AGAGUUUGAUCAUGGCUCAGAAUGAACGCUGGCGGCGUGCCUAACACAUGCAAGUCGCACGAGAACGUUUCAGCUUGCUGGAACUAGUAAAGCGGCGCACGGGUGAGUAACGCGUGGGUAAUCUACCUCCGAAUUGGGGAUAACAUUGCGAAAGCGAUGCUAAUACCGAAUGACAUCUCAAUUACCUAAGUGUUUGAGAUUAAAGGUGGCCUCUCCUUGGAAGCUUCUGUUUGGAGAUGAGCCCGCGUACCAUUAGCUUGUUGGUAGGGUAAUGGCCUACCAAGGCAACGAUGGUUAGCUGGUCUGAGAGGAUGAUCAGCCACACUGGAACUGACACACGGUCCAGACUCCUACGGGAGGCAGCAGUGAGGAAUUUUGCGCAAUGGGGGAAACCCUGACGCAGCAACGCCGCGUGAGUGAUGAAGGCUUUCGGGUCGUAAAGCUCUGUCAAGUGGGAAGAACCUGCCUUUUGCUAAUAUCAAUUGGCACUGACGGUACCACUGAAGGAAGCACCGGCUAACUCCGUGCCAGCAGCCGCGGUAAUACGGGGGGUGCAAGCGUUAUUCGGAAUCACUGGGCGUAAAGAGCGCGUAGGCGGUUUCUUAAGUCAGAUGUGAAAGCCCGGGGCUCAACCCCGGAAGUGCAUUUGAAACUAAGGAACUUGAGUAUGGGAGAGGGAAGUGGAAUUCCUGGUGUAGCGGUGAAAUGCGUAGAUAUCAGGAGGAACACCGGUGGCGAAGGCGACUUCCUGGACCAAUACUGACGCUGAGGCGCGAAGGCGUGGGGAGCAAACAGGAUUAGAUACCCUGGUAGUCCACGCAGUAAACGUUGAACACUAGGUGUAGCGGGUAUUGACCCCUGCUGGGCCGCAGCUAACGCAUUAAGUGUUCCGCCUGGGGAGUACGGCCGCAAGGCUAAAACUCAAAGGAAUUGACGGGGGCCCGCACAAGCGGUGGAGCAUGUGGUUUAAUUCGACGCAACGCGAAGAACCUUACCUGGGUUUGACAUCCCGGGAAUUCUGCGGAAACACAGAAGUGCCCUUCGGGGAGCCCGGUGACAGGUGCUGCAUGGCUGUCGUC